UCGCUUUGGCAGCAAAUAUACUAAAAUUGGAACGAUACAGAGAAGAUUAGCAUUGCCCCUGCACAAGGAUGACACGCAAAUUCGUGAAGCAUUCCAUAUUUUU
rnacentral:snRNA from 1 species